GCGUGGAUUCCGGCAUCCGGUUGUGUUCUCUCGUAUCGUCGCGUCGCGUCGCAGCAUGGUUUUUAACCUCGCAGUAAAAAUGUUUUAAUCGUCUUAAUAAAGUUUCAAUUUUAAUAAUAGCUUUUUUCGUGUUUGCGUGUUGUGCGUCAAUUUGCUGCGAACAUUGGGGAAGAGAGUCCAGACAGAAAAUGUUUUAGAUAUUUCAAAUUGUUUCAAAGAGACGUUAAUAAUAUAUGUACAACUGCGGAAUUUAACUGGUAGAAUCAGACUGUUUCAUUAUACAAAACAAUAGUUUUAGAAGUGCAAUGGAAGUCGAUCACAUGUCUGAGAAAGAUACUGCAUCUUCAAGUGCUCUAAAAGUAGAAGACGAUCCCGUGCUUGGGAAAAUUAUUUCACUGAAAUAUGUCAAUGACUUUGUUAAUGACAAUUAUUGCAAGAACCCUCACAACACAAGGAUAUUCAGGAUAUCCCUGGGACGUCCUGGGGAUAUCCAUUUGCUUUUGGCGAUUCGGAUAUCCCUAAGAUAUCCUCUGGAUAUCCAUGGACAUCUCUAAGAUAUCCCAGGGAUAUCCAAACCGCAGAAAACAAAUCGAUAUCCCCAGGACGUCCCAAGGAUAUCCUGAAUAUCCUUUUGUUGUGAGGGAAACGACUUUUUGAGAUUCACCAUUUGAUUAAAGACGGCAAGCAGAAAAAUCAUCGAGGAAGCAACAGAGAUUGCCUGACCUAGUGAUGAAAAGGCUGCUGAAGGUUUCUGGUCGAAGGGAAUUAAGUCUCACUAAUGAAUAAUGGAUUAGAGAAUUCCUUGGAGAACAAAAAACAACUUUCGAAUCAACUGAAAUUCGAAGCAUUCAUCUGAAGGAAAAUUUGGUUUAAAGUCAGAAUCGGAAAAUAAGAAAAAUCAAUUAAUGGGAUAUGAAGAAUUAAUAAAUGCAUUAAUCUAUUAUAAAUAUGUAAUUUAAAUUUUUUGUAAUGCUUCAGGUCAGAAUUUCCCAAACGAAUCACUUUAAAUUAAAAAUUUUAAUUUUCAA